rnacentral:rRNA from 1 species
CCUACGGGAGGCAGCAGUAAGGAAUAUUGGUCAAUGGACGCAAGUCUGAACCAGCCAUGCCGCGUGAAGGAUGAAGGCCCUCUGGGUUGUAAACUUCUUUUACAGGGGACGAAAAAAGGGAAUUCUUUCUCACUUGACGGUACCCUGGGAAUAAGCACCGGCUAACUCCGUGCCAGCAGCCGCGGUAAUACGGAGGGUGCAAGCGUUAUCCGGAUUCACUGGGUUUAAAGGGUGCGUAGGUGGGCAUUUAAGUCAGUGGUGAAAUCUCCGGGCUUAACCCGGAAACUGCCAUUGAUACUAUUUGUCUUGAAUAUUGUGGAGGUAAGCGGAAUAUGUCAUGUAGCGGUGAAAUGCUUAGAUAUGACAUAGAACACCCAUUGCGAAGGCAGCUUACUACGCAAAUAAUUGACACUGAGGCACGAAAGCGUGGGGAUCAAACAGGAUUAGAUACCCUGGUAGUCCACGCCCUAAACGAUGGAUACUCGACAUCAGCGAUACACAGUUGGUGUCUGAGCGAAAGCAUUAAGUAUCCCACCUGGAAGUACGACCGCAAGGUUGAAACUCAAAUGAAUUGACGG